rnacentral:rRNA from 1 species
CACGUAGGGUGCGAGCGUUGUCCGGAAUUAUUGGGCGUAAAGAGCUCGUAGGCGGUGUGUCGCGUCGGCCGUGAAAACCUGCAGCUUAACUGUGGGCUUGCGGUCGAUACGGGCAUCACUGGAGUUCGGCAGGGGAGACUGGAAUUCCUGGUGUAGCGGUGAAAUGCGCAGAUAUCAGGAGGAACACCGGGUGGCGAAGGCGGGGUCUC